GGUUUGAUCCUGGUCAGAUUUCGCUGGCGGGAUGCUUUGCAUACAUGCAAGUCGAAACGGGCACGGACUUCGGUCUGGUGGCGAGUGGCGAACGGUGGAGUAAUGCAUCAGAACGUGCCUAGCGGGGGAUAACGCCACGCUGAAAGCGUAGCUACGUCGCACGCUUGCCCUCGGGGAAAGCGGGGACCUUCGGGCCUCGCACCAGAGCGGCCGAUAUCGGAUUAGGCUAUUGGUGGGGGCAACGGUCACAAGACGAUCCGCAGCUGUUUGAGGACGACCAGCCACACUGGGACUGAGAUAUCGGCCCAGACUCCUACGGGAGGCAGCAGUGGGGAAUUUUUGACAAUGGGGGGAAAUCCCGAUCUGUGCCAUCCUUCGCGUAAAGUGGCGAUGAAGGCCUUCGGGUUGUAAAAAGCACUUUUGGCAUAAGUGAAAGAAAACGGCAUCGAUAAUACCCCGUGCAACUGACGGUACCUGCAGAAUAAGCACUGGCUAACUACGUGCCAGCAGCCGCGGCAAUACGUAGGGUGCAAGCGUUAACUGAACAUUGGGCGUAAAGCGUGCGCAGGCGGUUCGAAAAGAAAAGAGGAAAUCCCAGAGCCAACUUGUCCGCAUUUUUAACUACCGAGCGAGAGUGUGUCAGAGGAGGUGGAAUUCCGCGUGUAGCAGUGAAAUGCGUAGAUAUGCGGAGGAACAUCGAUGGCGAAGGCAGCCUCCUGGGAUAACACUGACGCUCAUGCACGAAAGCGGGGGAGCAACAGAUUAGACACUCCUGUGUAGUCCCACGCCCUAAACGAUGUCAACUAGUUGCUGGGGCCUUCGGGCCUGGUAGCGCAGCUAAUCGCGUGAAGUUGACCGCCUGGGAGUAUUACAGUAUCGCAGAUUAAAACUCAAAGGAAUUGACGGGGACCCGCAUGUGUUGUGGAUGAUGUAUUAAUUCGAUGUGCAACUGCGAAAAACCUUGUCUACCUUGCGGACAUGUCUGAAUCCGAAUAUAUUUGGGAGUGCCUGCAAGAGAACCGAACACAGGUGCUGUAUGGCUGUCGUCACCGUAAGCGAGAUGUUGCAGCUGGCGUCCCAACGAGCGCAACCUUGUCAUUAGUUGCUACGAAAGGGCAAUUUAGCACGAGACUGCCGGUGACAAACUGGAGGAAGGGGGAUGACGUCAAAUCCUCAUGGCCCUUGCGGGGUAGUGGCUCUACAUUGGCGGUCGGUCGGGGACAGAGGGUCGCCAACCCGGCGAGGGGGAGCCAAUCCCAGAAACCCGAUCGUAGUCCGGAUCGCAGUCUGCAACUCGACUGCGUGAAGUCGGAAUCGCCGGCAUCUUCCAGAUCAGCAGCGUCGCGUGAAUACGUUCCUGGCCUGAAGACACCGCCCGUCACACCAUGGGAGUGGGUUUUACCAGAAGCAGUUAGCCCAACGUAAGGAGGCUAUCAUCACUGGUGAUUCCAUGACUGUGCAGUCGCAAUGAAGGCAG
rnacentral:rRNA from 1 species